rnacentral:ncRNA from 1 species
GUAAAGUUUUAUUCUUGCUUUUUCGUUCAAUUUAUGUUUGUUCUAUAUGUAAAUUUUUGUGUAUUUCUGCCUUAAGUUCUAGAUGGGUUUAGUUGGUAUUGGUUUAGAUUCUCAUUCUCAUUAGUUGUUAUUGGUUGGUUGAUUAUCUUCUUAUUCAGCAAUUCGUUUUAGUUCCGGUUAAAUUUUGUGCCAGCAACCGCGGUUAUACCUUGGGGGCAUUUGAAUGUGCUUGGCAUGUGGUAGUUGUAUUAUGUUUUGAUUUAUUUGAUCUUAUUUUAUUUUUUAUUAGGUGAAAUUUUUAUUGUUGUUGAGUUUCUUUUAUUUGUUUGGAGGCUAUGAAAUUCUUUCUGUAGACUAGGAUUAGAUACCCUAUUAUUUUGGAAUGUUAAUUAUUUUUGCUUGAGUAGUAUUAGUUAUGUUCUUGAAACUUAAAGAAUUUGGCGGUAUCUUAUUCCAUCCAGAGGAAUCUGCCCCGUUAUCGAUAGUCCGCGUUGGACCUUACUUAGUUGCUGUUGGUUUGUAUACCGCCGUCUAUUGAUUAUCUUUUUAGAGUUUAAUUUAAUUUUCUAGUUGUUUUAUUUUGAUUUAUUUCAGGUCAAGGUGCAGCUUGUUUCUAAGUGGCAAUGGUGGAUUACAUUGUUAUUUGUUUUAUUGGAUUGUUAAUUUUAAUAUUGACAUGAAAUUGGAUUUGGUUGUAAUGUCUUGUAGAUUGUUUUCAUGAUAAUUGGUUCUGAGAUAUGUACACAUCGCCCGUCGCUCUCGUUUAUUAUUUAAUGAGAUAAGUCGUAACAAAGUGGUUGUACCGGAAGGUGCGGCUGGAUUGAU